AAUCUGUAUUGUCAAACACGGAAGAAGAAGGAUACAACCAUAAUUAAACCAAGAAGUUUAUGAAGAAGGGAUCACUGGAUUAUGUCACUUUGGUACAAGACACAGGAAAGGAUAUCAUAGACCACCUUAUUUAUACGGAAGCAUAUGAGCUGUUGAAGGAAAUUGCUGCCAGACAGUCAGCAGUUAUCACUGACAGCCUGUCCUGGCCCAGCUUGGACCAUCCUCAAGCUAACCAUGAUGGUGUGUUUGCAAGAAUUGUCCAUUUGGUAGACCAUGAUGAAGACCAGCUUUGUUGUGGCAUGGCCUGACAAUACUGUACAAGCCAGAGACCAAAAAAGGGUUAAGUGGUGACUGAUCCUCUCACCCUCCUUAUCCAGGAAACGUUUCGGAACAACGUGUUGGCACUGAAGAUGUGGAGGACACAGAUUGAUCUCAGUACACCCUUUGGAUACAUGGACACCUUCAACGGGACGACAACAAAACUGUACCUGCCUUUUUUUUAAAGGAAGUAGUUAAUAAAAUUAUUGUUAACAGCUUUUUUAGUCUUGUUGUUUAAGAAUGCUUGCAACAUUUAAGUGGAUAAACGGUUGUUUUAAAUUUGAAUAUUCAGUAAUGCAUUCUUUAUUAAAUGAUGUAAUCUUAUU